GGGGUAUUAACUCAGCGGUUAGAGUAGCGGCCUCUUAAGCCGAAGGUCGAAGGUUCGAAUCCUUCAUGCCCCACCA
rnacentral:tRNA from 1 species